GUAACACGGAAUGGUAUACGGAGUAGCGGACGGGUGAGUAAAGCAUGAGGAGCUGUCCUGUUGAGGGGGAUAACGUUCGGAAACGGACCCUAAUACCCCAUAGGCCGAGAGGUUAAAGGCAGAGAUGCGCGACAGGAGGUACUCGUGUCCUAUCAGCUAGUUGGUGAGGUAACGGCUCACCAAGGCGACGACGGGUAGCCGGCCUGAGAGGGUGACCGGCCACACUGGAACUGAGAUACGGUCCAGACUCC
rnacentral:rRNA from 1 species